rnacentral:ribozyme from 15 species
UGAAAUUAAAUCAUGAAAUUUCGAGCCGACAAAAGAGUAAAUAAAAAAAAAGCCCACAAAAAGUUGCGUCUUUUUUUUUUUUUUUUUUUUUUACUCUUUU